CAACACGCAGUGAAUAGAUGUGUUGCUCCAGACUCUCUGAAAAUUCCAGCUGAAUUCACAGGUCUGAUCCAUCAAAAAUUCCAACGGACUGGCCAGAGUGGUGUCAGAGUACACAUCCCUCAAGGUUUAGAAGAGAUGUCUAGACGGCACAUGGUUUAAUAUGAUGGGACUUGAGAUCACCUAGAAAGAGUACAGCAGAGGGCCACAAAGAUGAUGAGGGACAUGGAGUAUAUCCUGUAUGAUGAAAAGCUGAGGGACCUGGGACCGUUCAUCCUGGAGAAGAGAAAAUAGGAAGAUCCAUACAAACACAAGGAAGAAGUUUACUGUGAGAGUGGUAGAACACUGGAACAGGCUGCCCAGAGAGGUUGUGGAGACUGCUUCUCUGGAGAUAAUUAAGACCUGUCUGGACACUUUCCUGUGCAACCUACUGAAAGAAACCUGUUGUAGCAAGAGGUUGGGCUCAAUGAUCUCCAGAGGCCUCUUCUAACCCAUACAAAUCUGUGUUCAUGUUUUUCUCAUCCUUGCAAAUUAUACAGGAGCAGGAAUGGACUUUUCAUUUUUAUUUUUUCUGGCUUAAUUUAGAAUAUUGGAUCUGAUUUUUUUUUUCUAUUAAUUGAAUCCUGAUAGAUACUACACAUAAGUAUCUCAAAAAUUUUCUGUAAUUUAACAUGCUAUAAAAAAGCAAUAUUGUGCCCAUUUUACAGAUGAUAAGUGAGAAUCAAAGUAAGUUUAAUCAACAAGCUCUCAAAAGCCUCUCAAUUCUUGCAUCCCGUUUAGGAAUCUGUUCCAUUCAAAUAAAUGUGGAAUUUAAAAGUUUUGAAAUUUGGCUAAACUAAAAAUUAAAAUCAUAUUUAAUAUGCAUAAGUUUAAAUAAUAUGGUGGGUGUAGGUAUAAAGAAUGUAGAUGUAUGUGUUCUCAGGAGUAAAAACAUGCCGUUUUCUUUAACUUUUUAAAAAUUCAUAAUUAAAAAAUGAUUUCUACAAAUGAUAUUCCUGAGAUCUAAAGAAGGAUUAAGAGCAACUUAAUCCCAGCUAGGUAUGUUGAAUUGUUAUCCUGCUUUAGUGGCUUCUGAUAGGCAGUAAGUUCCACCUCUGGUCCCUUUGGGAACUGACUGGGACUGGCUCUGAUCUGACAUGAGUCAGCUGUUGGGCUCUGCUCACAGCAGUCCCUGCUACCAAACCUUUGCCAUGUAAAUGUAAUAUACAUAUAUUAAAUAAUCAUGUGGGGAAAAAAAAAAAAGACAAAACAACAAAACAACAAAAUCACUUCAAAACGCAAUGAGAGGAAGUAUUCUAUGGUUCUAUACCAUCCCUGGAGGUGUUGAAGAAAAGUUUAGAUGUUGUACUGAGGUACGUGGUUUAGAGGGAAAUAUUAGUGAUAGGUAGAGAGUCAGACUGGAUGAUCUCAGAGGUCUUUUCUAACCUUAGUGAUUCUAUGAUACAGAACAACUGUAUCUGAAUUGAAUCCAGGUAAUUUCAUUUUAACUAAUUUCAAAUGAAGGGACCAAGCUAAGGCUGGGUAGUGCAGGCUGUAAUAGACUGAACAUCAGUUGUAGAUGAGUUAUCAGUGGUAAAAAUAAAUGUAUCAGAAUGAGAACAAGAAAUAUACUGAAGGUGAUAAGAAAGACUCUGCUAGUUGUAAGUAGCAGUAAUGUCACUGAGUAGUUUACAACAACCUAAAAAAAAAUUUAAAGAGGAAAAAGAGGAAUACCAAGUUUCUUCAAAAUUUAUUUGCAUCAAUCAAUCAAUGAAUAAAUAGAAGGGAAACAAAAUAAAUGAAUAAAUGAGUAAAUGAAUAAAUGGAAGGGAAACAAUAUAGGUUGAAAUAAAUCAGAAAUUCUCCUUUUUUUUUUUUCUUUCCCAUGAAAUGUUGUGAACAAAUAAGAUUGCUUGAUUAAAACCCGUUUUCAUUAAAAAAAUUGUACUAAUAGUGUCCUCUUAUAGUAGAUGGACUAAAAUGCCCAAGAUGUUUGUGAACUAUUCCUGAAAGGCAAGGAUGGUAAAAACUUUCACCUAAAACAGCUACUCAGCUCAAGGUAUCAGACACAGUAAAGGCUGUGGACAAGCAAAUAUGCGAUGAUGUUGGAUGUGAUGAUGUUUACUGAUGCAAGAAGUCUGGGAUAUCACCACUUGUAGCCAAAAAAACUUGUGUGGGAAAAAAAAUACAAGGCAGAAAAAAUUAUUAUGUAUUAGUGGGAAGGAUCUUGUGACUGAGUAAGCUUCCAGUUAGAACUACUUCUGCAAGGUAAAAUAGGAAAAUAUAAAAACAAGAAGAAGAAGAAGAAAAAGCUCUAAAUGUACUUGUGGAGAGGAGCACACGGCAGCAGGUGUAUUGGCAUUGCCUGUGGCAAGUGAAUAAUCCUGAUCCCGAAUCCUAACUUCCUGAAAGUCAGAUUGAUGGACAUGAUGGAGUUUGGUGGUAGUUCUUUUUUCCACAUUUCCCAUUUUCCCUCUACUCCAAUUUUGUGUAUAUACUUUGAGAUAUUGUGGCCCUGUUUAUAAUUAUAUCUGCUGAGUGAAUCUGGAUUUUGAGAAUGCUUUUCCUUGAGUUUCAUUGUGUCAGUAACAUCUGAGAAUCAGCUGCAAAAUGAAAAUCUCUAUCAUUUGAGGUAUGACUCUCCGUGCCUUCUCUCAUGAGGACACUCUAAUUAAUACUGUCUUUAAAAACAAAUUACUUUUAAAGAUUUAAUUAACACAGAGUAGUGACAUUUUUAGGUUUAAGCUAAGCCUGUUUCAUCAUUAAAUACUUUCAUCCUUUUUUCUUUCUCUCUUUUUGUAAGUUCUACUUGACAAUAGAAACGGUUUGCUUCUUCAGUUUAAUAAAGGCAGACUAUAGCAUAUGAAGAUUCAUGUGCCCCUCUAAGAAUCUUUUAUGUCUAAAUAGAGUACAUUAAAU
rnacentral:lncRNA from 1 species